UACGAAGGGGGCUAGCGUUGCUCGGAAUUACUGGGCGUAAAGGGAGCGUAGGCGGACAUUUAAGUCAGGGGUGAAAUCCCGGGGCUCAACUCUGGAACUGCCUUUGAUACUGGAUGUCUUGAGUGUGAGAGAGGUAUGUGGAACUCCGAGUGUAGAGGUGAAAUUCGUAGAUAUUCGGAAGAACACCAGUGGCGAAGGCGACAUACUGGCUCAUUACUGACGCUGAGGCUCGAAAGCGUGGGGAGCAAACAGG
rnacentral:rRNA from 1 species